rnacentral:rRNA from 1 species
GACGAACGCUGUCGGCGUGCUUAACACAUGCAAGUCGAACGGAAAGGCCCUGCUUUUGUGGGGUGCUCGAGUGGCGAACGGGUGAGUAACACGUGAGUAACCUGCCCUUGACUUUGGGAUAACUUCAGGAAACUGGGGCUAAUACCGGAUAGGAGCUCCUGCUGCAUGGUGGGGGUUGGAAAGUUUCGGCGGUUGGGGAUGGACUCGCGGCUUAUCAGCUUGUUGGUGGGGUAGUGGCUUACCAAGGCUUUGACGGGUAGCCGGCCUGAGAGGGUGACCGGCCACAUUGGGACUGAGAUACGGCCCAGACUCCUACGGGAGGCAGCAGUGGGGAAUAUUGCACAAUGGGCGGAAGCCUGAUGCAGCAACGCCGCGUGCGGGAUGACGGCCUUCGGGUUGUAAACCGCUUUCGCCUGUGACGAAGCGUGAGUGACGGUAAUGGGUAAAGAAGCACCGGCUAACUACGUGCCAGCAGCCGCGGUGAUACGUAGGGUGCGAGCGUUGUCCGGAUUUAUUGGGCGUAAAGGGCUCGUAGGUGGUUGAUCGCGUCGGAAGUGUAAUCUUGGGGCUUAACCCUGAGCGUGCUUUCGAUACGGGUUGACUUGAGGAAGGUAGGGGAGAAUGGAAUUCCUGGUGGAGCGGUGGAAUGCGCAGAUAUCAGGAGGAACACCAGUGGCGAAGGCGGUUCUCUGGGCCUUUCCUGACGCUGAGGAGCGAAAGCGUGGGGAGCGAACAGGCUUAGAUACCCUGGUAGUCCACGCUGUAAACGGUGGGUACUAGGUGUGGGGUCCAUUCCACGGGUUCCGUGCCGUAGCUAACGCUUUAAGUACCCCGCCUGGGGAGUACGGCCGCAAGGCUAAAACUCAAAGGAAUUGACGGGGCCCCGCACAAGCGGCGGAGCAUGCGGAUUAAUUCGAUGCAACGCGUAGAACCUUACCUGGGUUUGACAUGGAUCGGGAGUGCUCAGAGAUGGGUGUGCCUCUUUUGGGGUCGGUUCACAGGUGGUGCAUGGCUGUCGUCAGCUCGUGUCGUGAGAUGUUGGGUUAAGUCCCGCAACGAGCGCAACCCUUGUUCACUGUUGCCAGCACGUUAUGGUGGGGACUCAGUGGAGACCGCCGGGGUCAACUCGGAGGAAGGUGGGGAUGACGUCAAGUCAUCAUGCCCCUUAUGUCCAGGGCUUCACGCAUGCUACAAUGGCUGGUACAGAGAGUGGCGAGCCUGUGAGGGUGAGCGAAUCUCGGAAAGCCGGUCUCAGUUCGGAUUGGGGUCUGCAACUCGACCUCAUGAAGUCGGAGUCGCUAGUAAUCGCAGAUCAGCAACGCUGCGAUGAAUACGUUCCCGGGGCU